rnacentral:rRNA from 1 species
CCUACGGGUGGCAGCAGUGAGGAAUAUUGGUCAAUGGGCGCUAGCCUGAACCAGCCAAGUAGCGUGAGGGAUGACUGCCCUAUGGAUUGUAAACUUCUUUUGUCGGGGAGUAAGGUGCGCUAUGUAUACUGCGUUGCAUGUACCUUGUAGAUAAGGCUCGGCUAACUCCGUUCCAGCAGCCGCGGUAAUACGGAGGAUGCGAGCGGUAUCCGGAUUUAUUGGGUUUAAAGGGUGCGUAGGCGGGAGGUUAAGUCAGCGGUAAAAAGUCGGGGCUCAAACCCGGCCGGCCGUUGAAACUGGGCGUCUUGAGUGGGCGAGAAGUAUGCGGAAUGCGUGGUGUAGCGGUGAAAUGCAUAGAUAUCACGCAGAACCCCGAUUGCGAAGGCAGCAUUCCGGCGCUCAACUGACGCUGAGGCACGAAAGCGUGGGGAUCGAACAGGAUUAGAUACCCUUGUAGUC